rnacentral:lncRNA from 1 species
UUUUAAAUCAUAUUUGAUCAUGAUGAUGGAGGACUUUAAGUAGGACAUAAAGAACUCCUUUAGAGAAAUGUAGAAACACAAGUAAACAAGUAGAAGCCUUAGAGAGGAAGCAGAAAAAUCCCUAAAAAAUUCCAGGAAAACAAAAUCAAACAGGUGAAGGAAAAAAUUGAAAGAGAAGCAAUGAAGAAAGCCCAAAGGGAGACAACCCUGGAUAUAAAAAAGGAAGAGGGAAGGAUCCAUAGAUAAAGCUUCCUACAAGAAAUAGAGAGAGAAUCUCAGGAGCAGAAGAUUCCAUAGAAAUCAUUGACACAACCAUCAAAGAUAAUGUAAAACAGAAAAAGACACUGGCCCAAAACAUACAGGAAAUCCAGGACACAAUGAGAAGAUCAAACCUAAGGAUAAUAGGUAUAGAAGAGAGUGAAGACUCUCACUUCAAAGGACCAGUAAAUAUCUUAAGCAAAGUCAUAGAAGAAAACUUCCUAACCUAAGAAAGAGAUGCCCAUAAACAUACAAGAAGGCAACAGAGCUCAAAUAUAUUGGACCAGAAAAGAAACUCCUCCCAUCACAUAUUAGUCAAAACACCAAAUGCACAAAACAAAGAAAGAAUAUUAAAAGCAGUAAGGGAAAAUGUGAAGUAACAUAUGAAGGCAGACCUAGCAGAAUUCCAUCAGACUUCUCACCAGAGACUGUGAAAGCCAGAAGAUCCUGGACAGAUGUCAUAAAGACCCUAAUAGAACACAAAGGCCAGCCCAGGUUACUGUAUCCAGCAAACAUCUCAAUUAACAUAGAUGGAGAAACCAAGAUAUUCCACGACAAAACCAAAUUUACACAAUAUUUUUCUACAAAUCCAGUGCUAUAAAGGAAAAUAAAUGGUAAAGCCCAACAUAAAGAGGAAAGCUACACCCUAGAGAGAGUAAGCAACUAAUCGUCUUGGCAACAAAACGAAAAGAAGAAAA